rnacentral:rRNA from 1 species
UACGGAGGAUCCAAGCGUUAUCCGGAUUUAUUGGGUUUAAAGGGUGCGUAGGCGGCUUAUUAAGUCAGGGGUGAAAGACGGUGGCUCAACCAUCGCAGUGCCUUUGAUACUGAUGAGCUUGAAUGAACUAGAGGUAGGCGGAAUGUGACAAGUAGCGGUGAAAUGCAUAGAUAUGUCACAGAACACCGAUUGCGAAGGCAGCUCACUAAACCAUUAUUGACGCUGAGGCACGAAAGCGUGGGGAGCAAACAGG